CUCGUAGGCGGUUCAGUAAGUCGGGUGUGAAAACUCUGGGCUCAACCCAGAGACGCCACCCGAUACUGCUGUGACUUGAGUACGGUAGGGGAGUGGGGAAUUCCUGGUGUAGCGGUAAAAUGCGCAGAUAUCAGGAGGAACACCAGUGGCGAAGGCGCCACUCUGGGCCGUAACUGACGCUGAGGAGCGAAAGCGUGGGUAGCAAAC
rnacentral:rRNA from 1 species